rnacentral:misc_RNA from 1 species
AUUCUUGCCAUCCAUGUUUAUUCACUGGGUCUGGUUCACCAUCCAAAUGGCGUCAAUUACAAGGAGAAAACAGAAACUCCAAAAUAUUCGUAACUUUAGAUUUAAAAAGAAGUUAUUCCACAAAGAAACAAGAGGAAUGGUGAGGCAGCUGUUACAAGUGUCUGGUGAAGACUGGGUGGCUGCUGUCAAGGAGUACGUUGAUAAUAAUGGUCGUGUUGGAAAGUGCUGUAACCCGCUUGCCGAAAGGCUCGACUAACGGGGCAGUGUACUCGACUGUCUUCACUGAGCAAAUUGAAGUAUGGUAGCCAUCCGCUGGUGGGGGAGAAGCUGAUGUUGAAAAUGGUUAAAUGCUGUGAACAUUGGCCUGCUGCACCACCUCUUUAAAAGAUCUGCUGCAGUCCAGAAGACGUGAUUGUUGUUGUUGGAUGAUGCACAGGGCCAUCGAGUGAACGUGUUGGUAAUAAGAGCCAGUAGAGGUGUUGGUGUCGGACUGUGGCAGAAUUGUUGACCCUCGAGACGAGCAUGUCGACACUUCAUAUGGUGAUGUUAAAUUUUGUAAUAUUUUUUUUAAAGUGGAAGGUGUUAUCAAUAGUUUGUUUUUAGUGAAUUUGAGAGUUGUAGGGAAAGUUUUUAGUUGAUGAAAUGUUUGUAACCACCCCGUGGUAACUAGUGUGUAUAUGGCCAUACUAUAUAACCUGUAGCAGACCUUUCCACUAAUCCCGUUGGUCAUUACACUAUCGGUAGUCCGUGAUCCUGUCCAUUAAGGGCUACCUGACUGGUGGCUGCACCUUGGUUACCCUGAUUUAGAGCACCCCAAACUGUCUAGUUUAUACUACAGAUAGGCGAAAGGGAGACUUAAUCGAGGUGUAUGUCAUCAGAAACGGCACUACUAGUGUCCAUACCUGAAGGUGGCAGAUGCAAGGA